AUUUUCACACUCUAGUCAUUAGAAUGUGGUCACUUGGAACUUAUGGUCAGAGGAAACCCAAUCCACAUUGGAACAAAGCUUCUUAAGACAUGGAUGUAAUUUGGUGGUAAGAUGGAUUCAACGUUAUUCCCCUGACCUUUCUCACUUUCACCUUCUCCCUUGUGCACUCAUUUCAUCAUAGAGGUGGAAAUGUUAAACAAUAUAGUCGAUUAU
rnacentral:lncRNA from 1 species